GAAAAGGAGCAAUCCGCUUUGAGAUGGCCUCGCGUCCGAUUAGCUAGUUGGUGAGGUAACGGCCCACCAAGGCGACGAUCGGUAGCCGGACUGAGAGGUUGAACGGCCACAUUGGGACUGAGACACGGCCCAGACUCCUACGGGAGGCAGCAGUGGGGAAUAUUGCACAAUGGGGGAAACCCUGAUGCAGCGACGCCGCGUGGAGGAAGAAGGUCUUCGGAUUGUAAACUCCUGUUGUUGAGGAAGAUAAUGACGGUACUCAACAAGGAAGUGACGGCUAACUACGUGCCAGCAGCCGCGGUAAAACGUAGGUCACAAGCGUUGUCCGGAAUUACUGGGUGUAAAGGGAGCGCAGGCGGGAGAACAAGUUGGAAGUGAAAUCCAUGGGCUCAACCCAUGAACUGCUUUCAAAACUGUUUUUCUUGAGUAGUGCAGAGGUAGGCGGAAUUCCCGGUGUAGCGGUGGAAUGCGUAGAUAUCGGGAGGAACACCAGUGGCGAAGGCGGCCUACUGGGCACCAACUGACGCUGAGGCUCGAAAGUGUGGGUAGCAAACAGGAUUAGAUACCCUGGUAGUCCACACCGUAAACGAUGAUUACUAGGUGUUGGAGGAUUGACCCCUUCAGUGCC
rnacentral:rRNA from 1 species